CCUACGGGUGGCUGCAGUGAGGAAUCUUGGUCACUGGCCGCGAGCCUGAACCAGCCAAGUAGCGUGAAGGAUGACUGCCCUACGGGUUGUAAACUUCUUUUAUAAAGGAAUAAAGUGAGGCACGUGUGCCUCUUUGUAUGUACCUUAUGAAUAAGGAUCGGGUAACUCCGUGCCAGCAGCCGCGGUAAUACGGAGGAUCCGAGCGUUAUCCGGAUUUAUUGGGUUUAAAGGGAGCGUAGAUGGGUUGUUAAGUCAGUGGGGAAAGUUUGCGGCUCAACCGUAAGAUUGCAGUUGAUACUGGAAGCCUUGAGUGCAGGUGAGGUAGGCGGAAUUCGUGGUGUAGCGGUGAAAUGCUUAGAUAUCACGAAGAACUCCGAUUGCGAAGGCAGCUUACUAGACUGCCACUGACGUUGAUGCUCGAAAGUGUGGGUAUCGAACAGGAUUAGAUACCCGAGUAGUC
rnacentral:rRNA from 1 species